rnacentral:lncRNA from 1 species
AUUUCUUCCUCGACCACGACCAUGACUACGACUGGGGCCACGACCUCCUCUACGUUUAGCUUGGUAGAAGUUCGUCUCAUUCAGGGAAUGGACAAGAACCAGUAGGCCGACUUUCAUGGUUUUUCAUUAAUAGCCCAUUAUGUUGCUCGGCUAUAAGAAGAUGUGAGAAAAGUUCAGAAUACUUUUUAAAUCCCAUCUCUCGACAUUGCUGCUGCAGGAGCAUAUUCGAGGCAUGGAAAAUGGUGAAAAUUUUCUCUAACAUACAUGGUCAGUAAUAUUAUCACCACAUAAUUUCAAAACUCUGCUGCUGCAAGAGCAUAUUCGAGGCAUAGAAAGUGGUGAAAGUUUUCUCUGACAUAUCAUGGUCAGUAAUAUUAUCACCACAUAAUUUUAACUGAUAAAUGAUUCUGAACAUAGCAGAAUUAUACUCACUUAUAGAUUUAAAAUCUUGUGGCCUUAUAUGGGUCCAAUCAUAUCGUGCCUGUGGAAGAACGACCAUCUUCAGGUGGUCAUAUCUAUCUUGUAAAUUAUUCCACAGUAUGACUGGAUCUUUAAUAGUAAGAUAUUCCAUUUUCAGGCCCUCAUCAAGGUGAUGGCGUAGGAAUAUCAUUGCUUUGGCACGAUAUUCCAUUUUCAGGCCCUCAUCAAGGUCAUGGAGUAGGAAUAUCAUUGCUUUGGCACGGUUUUGGUUUGAUGCCUGAUUUUUAUCUUUGAUGGUGUCUGCCAGGCCCAUCGCAUCAAGAUGAAUUUCAGUAUCAAGCACCCAAGACAUGUAGCUUUUGCCCGAUAUAUCCAGGGCAACAAAUUCCAGUUUAGAAAGAUUUGACAUUAUUUAGGAAAAGAAAGUUCUUACCUCAGAUACUUUCAAAAUAUUUGCUCGACAAAUUCCAGUUUAGAAAGAUUUGACAUUAUUUAGGAAAAGAAAGUUCUUACCUCAGAUACUUUCAAAGUAUUUUCUCGAUAUAACAGAGUCUCGUGCUGAUAACUUGUUAUAAAAUAAAGACUACAAAGUAAAGACAAGUAUAGAGAGAGACUGAUAUAUUAUUCGAAUUCAAAAUGAUGUACAUAAUGAACUGAAUCCAUUUCUAUUUAUAGAAGAAAGGAAGAUGUUGUGUAAGCUGCUACUGCAAGCUGUAGUGUAAGCUGCUACAAUACCAGAUAUGGAUAAUGCUUUACUAAUAGUAAUGUUUAUCCAUAACGGAGUACUGUAGUGAUAAGUUCAUUAUACCCAGUAUAGAUAAUCUUCUACUAGGGGUAAUGAUUAUCCAUAACGAAGGACUGAGAGGAUAAGCUUAUUAGACACAGUAUGGAUAAUAUUCUACCGGGGGUAAUGUUUAUCCAUAACCGAGUACUGAAAGGAUAAGCUUAUUAUACCCGGUAUGGAUAAUCUUUUACCGAGGUAAUAUUUAUCCAUAACCGGGUACCGAAGUAAUAAGCUUCUCCAGGAAGCUUAUUUUCAAUAGAGUACUAAAUAGAUAAACAUAUUUACGGCGGAGUCACAUACGGAUA